AAAAAUUUUGUUAGGAGGCAACCCGACCAUUAGCUUAGAUGUAGUUUUAGUUUGGAUUUAUGUUUUUAUCCACUCUAACGAGUUAGCUUUGUGUGCCUUUUGUCUGCUUCGCAAAGUUCUCGAGCUACACGAUGAUAUAAGUGAUCAUGACUCAAAGAUAACGAAUGGGUGCCAAAACAACUGCCCACACAAGUUUCCACGCCUGAAAAAAGAAAGGUCACAUCGACCCUCUGCAACCCAUGUCGCUGGAAGACACAGCCAAAUUUUCCGUGUUUGGGGCCACAUCACACCUAGUAUGGUGCACAAACGUGGUGAAAUUUAUCCCAAGCCACUUUCCCCGUACUUGUUCCGAUUAUUGUUGAAAGGAGUGUUUCACACUGAAUUCCCAAGUCAGUUUUGAAGGGUACUUUGAAAAAUGGUUCGCCUAAAAUCCAGUGCAAUUAAGGCUAAGGCUUUGGCUCAAACCAAAGCUCUGCCUCAAGCUAUGACCUCCACUUUAGCACCACCACCUAAGAAAAGGAAUCGCAUUGAGGUCAUCUAGUAGCAAGGCAAAAGGGAAGCAGUCAGCCUCCACAUCAGCUCUAGCUCAGUUGUAAGAAAAGAACAAACAUAUCUCUGGUACCAAGCAUGUUUGACCCUACGGGAAGGCAAGGUACAAGAAGUUUCGUGCACCCAUGUACACCUCUAUACGGCUAUUGGUGAGAAUACUUUGAAUGCUAAGUAUAACGACAUAUGGGAAGUCGUGCAUAACAUGGAUUAGGGCUUUGUGUUCAAAACUCCAGGAGAGUCAAAUGACCACUUGGAAUUCGAAUGGAGGAACUUGCGCGAUUUUUGUACCAAAAUAAAAAAAAGUCGAGUGCGGGAGAUGACCAGGCGAAGUGCCCUAAAGGCACCUGAUUCAGGCACGGGGUGCCGUGGAAAGCGGCCAAAUCAGCCACAAGGGGAGCAACGCAACUGUGGGACGUGUCCGAUGGUAUUUUCUCCUGGGGCUUUCCCCUACCAAGUGUAAAUAGUCCUUAAAAUUGUUUUUUAGAUGGGGAAGACUUGUUUUGGAGGUGAAAGGCUACAGGAGCACUUUGGGAGCACAUGAUCAUGCAGUUUUCCUUCUUUAUAGUUUGUAGUUUUUAUGCUUUCAAUUUGUGAUGUUAUUGUUAUUAUGACUAUGAGUUGCUAAUUUUAUUAUCUAGGGUUUUGAUGAAAGCUUAUAGGAUGAAUUUUUGUUACAUUUUAA